rnacentral:rRNA from 1 species
UACAGAGGGUGCAAGCGUUAAUCGGAAUUACUGGGCGUAAAGCGUGCGUAGACGGUUGCGUAAGUCAGAUGUGAAAGCCCCGGGCUCAACCUGGGAAUUGCAUUUGAGACUGCGUAGCUAGGGUGCGGAAGAGGGAAGCGGAAUUUCCGGUGUAGCGGUGAAAUGCGUAGAUAUCGUAAGGAAGACCAGUGGCGAAGGCGGGUCUCUGGACAGUUCCUGACACUGAGGCACGAAGGCCAGGGAGCAA